UGAUCCUCAUUGAUGCACCGGUACUUAACUCAAAUCAAAGUUUUCUCCACGUAUGUGGAGG
rnacentral:sRNA from 1 species